rnacentral:tRNA from 9 species
CCCCUGAUAGCUCAGCUGGAAGAGCGCAAGACUGUAAAUCUUGAGGUCCCUGGUUCGAUCCCGGGUCAGGGGA